AGAGUUUGAUCCUGGCUCAGAAUGAACGCUGGCGGCGUGCUUAACACAUGCAAGUCGUACGAGAACUCUUCUGCUUGCAGAAGAUAGUAAAGUGGCGCACGGGUGAGUAACGCGUGGGUAAUCUACCCUCAAAUCGGGGAUAACAUUGCGAAAGCGAUGCUAAUACCGGAUGUGAUUUGUUUUUCUUAAGAGAAUAAAUCAAAGGUGGUCUCUACAUGUAAACUACUGUUUGAGGAUGAGCCCGCGUACCAUUAGCUUGUUGGUGAGGUAAGAGCUCACCAAGGCAACGAUGGUUAGCUGGUCUGAGAGGAUGAUCAGCCACACUGGAACUGAAACACGGUCCAGACUCCUACGGGAGGCAGCAGUGGGGAAUAUUGGACAAUGGGCGCAAGCCUGAUCCAGCAAUGCCGCGUGUGUGAAGAAGGCCUGAGGGUUGUAAAGCACUUUCAAUUGUGAAGAAGGUUAGGAAGUUAAUAGCUACCUAAUUUGACGUUAACUUUAGAAGAAGCACCGGCUAACUCUGUGCCAGCAGCCGCGGUAAUACAGAGGGUGCAAGCGUUAAUCGGAAUUACUGGGCGUAAAGCGCGCGUAGGCGGUUUGUUAAGUUGGAUGUGAAAGCCCCGGGCUCAACCUGGGAUGGUCAUUCAAUACUGGCGAGCUAGAGUGUGGUAGAGGACAAUGGAAUUCCUAGUGUAGCGGUGAAAUGCGUAGAUAUUAGGAGGAACAUCAGUGGCGAAGGCGAUUGUCUGGGCUGACACUGACGCUGCGGUGCGAAAGCGUGGGUAGCGAACAGGAUUAGAUACCUUGGUAGUCCCACGCCGUAAACGAUGUCAACUAGCCGUUGGACUCAUUAAAGGGUUUAGUGGCGCAGCUAACGCGAUAAGUUGACCGCCUGGGGAGUACGGCCGCAAGGUUAAAACUCAAAGGAAUUGACGGGGGCCCGCACAAGCGGUGGAGCAUGUGGUUUAAUUCGAUGCAACGCGAAGAACCUUACCAGCCCUUGACAUCCUCGGAACUUGGCAGAGAUGCCUUGGUGCCUUCGGGAACCGAGAGACAGGUGCUGCAUGGCUGUCGUCAGCUCGUGUCGUGAGAUGUUGGGUUAAGUCCCGUAACGAGCGCAACCCUUGCCCUUAGUUGCCAGCACAUUAUGGUGGGAACUCUAAGGGGACUGCCGGUGACAAACCGGAGGAAGGCGGGGAUGACGUCAAGUCAUCAUGGCCCUUAUGGGCUGGGCUACACACGUGCUACAAUGGCCAGUACAGAGGGUUGCCAAGCCGUGAGGUGGAGCUAAUCCCACAAAGCUGGUCGUAGUCCGGAUUGCAGUCUGCAACUCGACUGCAUGAAGUCGGAAUCGCUAGUAAUCGCGAAUCAGCAUGUCGCGGUGAAUACGUUCCCGGGCCUUGUACACACCGCCCGUCACACCAUGGGAGUGGGUUGCAAAAGAAGUGGGUAGCUUAACCUUCGGGAGGGCGCUCACCACUUUGUGAUUCAUGACUGGGGUGAAGUCGUAACAAGGUAACCGUA
rnacentral:rRNA from 1 species